GUGCUCGCUUUGGCAGCAUGUAUACUAAAACUGGAAAGAUACAGAGAAGAUUAGCACGGCCCCUGUGCAAAGAUGACAUACAAAUUUGUGAAGUGUUCCAUGUUUUA
rnacentral:snRNA from 1 species